rnacentral:lncRNA from 1 species
GCGCGGCUGUGCCCGUGGCCUAUUUUUGGCACACGGAGGCCGCCCGCCAAGUCUGGUGCCAUUCCGAGUCCCGCGGACGAACUUCACCCACGCCCCCCACCAAGGCUAUAGCCCACCCAUUUUUUGGCCAUUUUUCCGCUGGGGGGUCUUGGGACCCCGAACUUCGGGGGCUGUUUUUUAGGCGCGGCUGUGCCCGUGGCCUAUUUUUGGCACACGGAGGCCGCCCGCCAAGUCUGGUGCCAUUCCGAGUCCCGCGGACGAAACUUCGCUCACGCCCCCCCACCAAGGCUAUAGCCCAACCGUUUUUUGGCCAUUUUUUCCGAUGGGGGGUCUUGGGCACCCCGACCUUCGGGGGCUGAUUUUUUGGGCGCGGCUCUGCCCGUGGCCUAUUUUUUGGCACACGGAAGCCGCCCGCAAAGUCUGGGGCCAUUCCGAGUCCGGCGGACGAACUUCGCCCACGCCCCCCACCAAGGCUAUAGCCCACCCGUUUUUUGGCCAUUUUUCCGCUGGGGGGUCUUGGCGCCCCGACCUUCGGGGGCUGAUUUUUGGGCGCGGCUCUGCCCGUGGCCUAUUUUUGGCACACGAAGGCCGCCCGCAAAGUCUGGGGCCAUUCCGAGUCCGGCGGACGAACUUCGCCCACGCCCCCCACCAAGGCUAUAGCCCACCCGUUUUUUGGCCAUUUUUCCGCUGGGGGGUGUUGGCACCCCGACCUUCGGGGGCUGAUUUUUGGGCGCGGCUGUGCCCGUGGCCUAUUUUUGGCACACGGAGGCCGCCCGCAACGUCUGGGGCCAUUCCGAGUCCGGCGGACGAACUUCGCCCACGCCCCCCACCAAGGCUAUAGCCCACCCGAUUUUUGGCCAUUUUUCC